rnacentral:rRNA from 1 species
AGAGUUUGAUCAUGGCUCAGGACGAACGCUGGCGGCGUGCUUAACACAUGCAAGUCGAACGAUGAAGCCCAGCUUGCUGGGCGGAUUAGUGGCGAACGGGUGAGUAAUACGUGAGUAACCUACCUUUAACUCUGGGAUAAGCCUUGGAAACGGGGUCUAAUACCGGAUAUGACCAACCCUCGCAUGGGGUGUUGGUGGAAAGGGAUUUUGUACUGGUUUUAGAUGGGCUCACGGCCUAUCAGCUUGUUGGUGAGGUAACGGCUCACCAAGGCGACGACGGGUAGCCGGCCUGAGAGGGUGACCGGCCACACUGGGACUGAGACACGGCCCAGACUCCUACGGGAGGCAGCAGUGGGGAAUAUUGCACAAUGGGCGCAAGCCUGAUGCAGCGACGCCGCGUGAGGGAUGACGGCCUUCGGGUUGUAAACCUCUUUCAGCAGGGGAGAAGCGAAAGUGACGGUACCUGCAGAAGAAGCGCCGGCUAACUACGUGCCAGCAGCCGCGGUAAUACGUAGGGCGCGAGCGUUGUCCGGAAUUAUUGGGCGUAAGGAGCUUGUAGGCGGUUUGUCGCGUCUGCUGUGAAAGCCCGGGGCUUAACCCCGGGUUUGCAGUGGGUACGGGCAGACUAGAGUGCAGUAGGGGAGACUGGAAUUCCUGGUGUAGCGGUGGAAUGCGCAGAUAUCAGGAGGAACACCAAUGGCGAAGGCAGGUCUCUGGGCUGUAACUGACGCUGAGAAGCGAAAGCAUGGGGAGCAAACAGGAUUAGAUACCCUGGUAGUCC